rnacentral:lncRNA from 1 species
CUGGGAAGUCAGGCUGAUUUCUUUACAGGGGUCUUUACACUGUCCUUCAAAUUCCUGCUGAAAAAAAAAAGCUACAUGUCUGGGAAAGAUGCCACCCCACCCUGUAUGGCUACCUCCUAUGCCAGAUGAUAUGAUUCCCACCUGAUGAGGCUAAGGAAGCCAGCUGGAAUAUGGAUGCAGACCAGAAGAGCCCAGUGAAUGGCAGUUUAGGAACACAUCCAGUACUGUUGUAUACCAUCAGUGUCUGAGCCUGGAUGUGUGUAUCACCAGCCUCAGAUGUCCCCUUGCCUGUGUAGAGAAACACGGCUCACCUGUAAGCCGGGAGCUGUCUACUGUGACAGGUGUGACAGCUGUGUAACAAAUGUCUUUGUAUUUAGAAAUAAUAAACCUACUUUUGUUUAAAUGACAG